UGUUGAUCCCUGUGGUGGCAUCAGACAUCCUCCAACAAAUAUGCCCAGGACAAGUUAGUUCCCGGAGGCUGGCUCACCUCCAGAUCCAAGUACCAAAUUGUAACUCCUUGGAGAAGGGUCUUAUGGCACAGUUGCAAAAAUGUGUCAGAAUAGCUGACAAAAAGACCGUACCCAUUAAAAUAAUGAAACAUGAGAACCCAAAAGACCCGUUAAAAAACCAAGAGACAGUGGACGUCUAUGUCUUGAGUUUGAAUAUCUUGACAAAAGUGGAAGAAAGAAAGAAAGAAAGAAAGAAAGAAAGAAAGAAAAAGAAAGAAAAUUUCAAACCGCUUAGUUUAAAGGCAAUUCGUCCCAUCAUCAUGCAGAUCGCAAGAGCUCUUAGUCACCUCAACUCUACUGGAACAAUACACGCAGAUCUGAAAUUAGAAAAUGUAAUGUUGGUGAAACAUCAACAAGAGCCAUACUGA
rnacentral:lncRNA from 1 species